rnacentral:lncRNA from 1 species
AACCUUUGCAUUUUCUUCAUUAAGAUAUUCUAAGUAAUUGAUCCUUUUCUAAUGUUUUUUUCAGAAGCUCAGAUGACAUGGAAUAUACCGGAUAGACUGGAUUGAUGUGCCAAGGCAAACUGUAUCUGCAACUCAACAACAUGAUAUGAUGCUGAGAUACUUUCCUCCCUGUGAAGCUCUCUGGAAAACUGAGAAAUUCUGUUGGAAAUUUUAGAGGAGGAGGCAGGAAGGUUUCAGUAUGAAUUGCCAGGAGCUCGCUGUUCUGGAAAUCCUGAAGUCUCAGUUGAGGAAAUAUGAAGUGAGCCAAAGGCCAAAUGGAUAGCAGUGAUUUUACUUGAAACUUCCAGAUAAAAAACAGAUAAAAAAUAGGUAGGUAUUUGUCUGGGGAGAGAAAAAGGUAUUUGGGGGUAGAUGUUGGGGAACUGAGGGUAGGUUUGCUUUGUCUUGUUAAAAAACACUUCAGUCUCAGGAUACAUCUAUGCUGGAGUAUCACAAUUACAAAGUUAAUCACUGUGUUAGGAUGCUAAGUGAACAAGUCCUUUUAAGAUAAAAGGCCAGCUUGUCACAACACACAUUAACAGCAUCAUUGAACAGGGUGAAACAACAUCCAGAGGUGUAAAAUAUCAUUCUAAGGUUUUCCAGGUAUCAGAAUGAAAUUUUUUUCUCAACAUUGAAUAUUCAUGAUGCAUCAUAAAGCUA